GACGAACGCUGGCGGCGUGCUUAACACAUGCAAGUCGAACGGAAAGGCCCUGCUUUUGUGGGGUGCUCGAGUGGCGAACGGGUGAGUAACACGUGAGUAACCUGCCCUUGACUUUGGGAUAACUUCAGGAAACUGGGGCUAAUACCGGAUAGGAGCUCCUGCUGCAUGGUGGGGGUUGGAAAGUUUCGGCGGUUGGGGCUAGACUCGCGGCUUAUCCGCUUGUUGGUGGGGUAGUGGCUUACCAAGGGUUUGACGGGUAGCCGGCCUGAGAGGGUGACCGGCCACAUUGGGACUGAGGUACGGCCCAGACGCCUACGGGAGGCAGCAGUGGGGAAUAUUGCACAAUGGGCGGAAGCCUGAUGCAGCAACGCCGCGUGCGGGAUGACGGCCUUCGGGUUGUAAACCGCUUUCGCCUGUGACGAAGCGUGAGUGACGGUAAUGGGUAAAGAAGCACCGGCUAACUACGUG
rnacentral:rRNA from 1 species